rnacentral:rRNA from 1 species
UACGUAGGCAGCGAGCGUUGUUCGGAGUUACUGGGUGUAAAGCGUGCGUAGGCGGUGUCUUAAGUUUGUUGUGAAAUCUCCCGGCUUAACCGGGAGGGUGCGGCGAAUACUGAGAUGCUGGAGUGCCGGAGAGGUAAGCGGAAGUUCCUGGUGUAGCGGUGAAAUGCGUAGAUAUCAGGAGGAACACCUGCGGUGUAGACGGCUUACUGGACGGUAACUGACGCUGAGGCACGAAAGCGUGGGUAGCAAACAGG